GAUGAACGCUAGCGGCAGGCCUAACACAUGCAAGUCGAGGGAGGAGCUUUCGGGCUUCGACCGGCGUACGGGUGCGUAACGCGUAUACAAUCUGCCUUUCACAUAGGGAUAGCCCGAAGAAAUUUGGAUUAAUACCUAAUGGUAUAUAGAGGUGGCAUCACCUUUAUAUUAAAGCUGAGGCGGUGAAAGAUGAGUAUGCGUUCUAUUAGCUAGUUGGAGAGGUAACGGCUCCCCAAGGCGACGAUAGAUAGGGGUUCUGAGAGGGAUAUCCCCCACACUGGAACUGGGAAAAGAACCAGACUCCAGGGGGCGGCGGGAGAGAGGAAAAUUGGAACAUGGUCGGAAGACUGACCCAGCCAGGCCGUGGAGAGGAAGACGGCUUUAUGGAUUUUAAACUUCUUUUGAAGGGGAAAAAAAGGGAAUACCCUUAGUUUGAUGACGGAACUAUGGAAAAAAGAAGCGGCAAACUCCGU
rnacentral:rRNA from 1 species